rnacentral:rRNA from 1 species
ACGCUGGCGGCACGCCUAACACAUGCAAGUCGAACGAAGUAGUAAUACUUAGUGGCAGACGGGUGAGUAACAUGUAGGUAUCUACCCUAUGGCCUGGAAUAACACGAGGAAACUUGUGCUAAUACUGGAUAAGUCUUCACGGAGAAAGCUUUAUGCACCAUUGGAUGAGCCUGCACUUGAUUAGUUUGUUGGUAGGGUAAUGGCCUACCAAGACUGUGAUCAAUAGCUGAUUUGAGAGGAUGAUCAGCCACAUUGGGACUGAGACACGGCCCAAACUCCUACGGGAGGCAGCAGUGGGGAAUCUUGCACAAUGGAGGAAACUCUGAUGCAGCGAUGCCGCGUGAGUGAAGAAGGCCCUUGGGUUGUAAAGCUCUUUCGUCGGGGAAGAAAAUGACUGUACCCGAAUAAGAAGGUCCGGCUAACUUCGUGCCAGCAGCCGCGGUAAUACGAAGGGACCUAGCGUAGUUCGGAAUUACUGGGCUUAAAGAGUUCGUAGGUGGUUGAAAAAGUUGGUGGUGAAAUCCCAGAGCUUAACUCUGGAACUGCCAUCAAAACUUUUCAGCUAGAGUAUGAUAGAGGAAAGCAGAAUUUCUAGUGUAGAGGUGAAAUUCGUAGAUAUUAGAAAGAAUACCAAUUGCGAAGGCAGCUUUCUGGAUCAUUACUGACACUGAGGAACGAAAGCAUGGGUAGCGAAGAGGAUUAGAUACCCUCGUAGUCCAUGCCGUAAACGAUGUGUGUUAGACGUUGGAAAUUUAUUUUCAGUGUCGCAGUGAAAGCGAUAAACACACCGCCUGGGGAGUACG